UACGUAGGUCGCAAGCGUUGUCCGGAUUUACUGGGCGUAAAGAGCGCGCAGGCGGCUGGUCAAGUCCGAUGUGAAGUCUCCCGGCUCAACUGGGAAACUGCAUCGGAAACUGAUCGGCUUGAAGAUGGGAGAGGGUAGUGGAAUUCCCGGUGUAGUGGUGAAAUGCGUAGAUAUCGGGAGGAACACCAGUGGCGAAGGCGACUACCUGGCCCAUUCUUGACGCUGAGGCGCGAAAGCUAGGGGAGCGAACGGG
rnacentral:rRNA from 1 species